rnacentral:rRNA from 1 species
AACGCGAAGAACCUUACCUGGGCUCGAAAUGCUGUGGACCAGUUUGUGAAAGCAGACCUUCCCGCAAGGGACCGCAGUAUAGGUGCUGCAUGGCUGUCGUCAGCUCGUGUCGUGAGAUGUUGGGUUAAGUCCCGCAACGAGCGCAACCCUUGUCCUGUGUUGCCAUACCGAAAGGUGGAACUCGCAGGAGACCGCCAGGGAUAACCUGGAGGAAGGUGGGGAUGACGUCAAGUCCUCAUGGCCUUUAUGUCCAGGGCUACACACGUGCUACAAUGGACGGUACAAAGGGCUGCCAACCCGCGAGGGGGAGCCAAUCCCAAAAAACCGUUCUCAGUUCGGAUUGCAGGCUGCAACUCGGCUACAUGAAGUUGGAAUUGCUAGUAAUGACGUGUCAGCAAUAACGUCGUGAAUACGUUCCCGGGCCUUGUACACACCGAGACGAC